UACGUAGGGCGCGAGCGUUGUCCGGAAUUAUUGGGCGUAAAGAGCUCGUAGGCGGCCUGUUGCGUCCGCUGUGAAAUCCCGGGGCUCAACCCCCGGGCUUGCAGUGGAUACGGGCUGGCUAGAGGCAGGCAGGGGAGAACGGAAUUCCCGGUGUAGCGGUGAAAUGCGCAGAUAUCGGGAGGAACACCGGUGGCGAAGGCGGUUCUCUGGGCCUGUACUGACGCUGAGGAGCGAAAGCGUGGGGAGCGAACAGG
rnacentral:rRNA from 1 species